rnacentral:tRNA from 1 species
GGAGCCGUGCCUGAAGUAAAGGGUUACUUUGAUAGAGUAAACAAUGAGGGUUAAACCCCCUCCGCCUCCU